rnacentral:lncRNA from 1 species
GGAGGGCCAGCCCCCAAACAAAUCCAAGUGAUGUUUCCUGUCCACCUUUCUCCUGGUGAAGGGUGAGCACAUACUGGGCUCUAAUGCUGGGAAAUGGGCCAGGCAGUGGGUGGUGGACCAGUCCUGCAGGUCCAGGAAGAGUUGGGAGAGCUGAGAGGUGGGCAGCCAGGAGCAGAGAAGAACCUGCCAAGGUCCCUGUGUCCUGGAGAUCUUACUGAUUUUACAGACAGUGGGCAGCCAGAGGGAGUGCAAGGGGUAGUGGGAUCGAGGCAUCAUGGGCGGAAGGGUCAGACCUACUCACGGGGUCUGUACAUGCAAGUGUGCUUAAACUGGUAUCUUUUAAAUUAUAGAUAAGUCCUGGGCUCCACUAAUGCAUUUCACUGUUUAACAGAGUGGAGUCGAUGGAAGUUGACCUUUCUCCUUCCCCAAUGAGAAAAGUAAGUCCAGCAGGCCACCUUGUCUCUCCUGUCCUAAGCCCACAUGCUACUGUCUUCCCUUGUCCUCGGUACUUGUGAAUUGGCCAUGCUUUGAACAGUAGCCUGACUUCUGUCAGAUUGUUGCCAUUUGCUGGCCCCUGGGAGGCGGGGUGAGUGAACUGGGUCCUGAAAGACUUGAGAAUGCAUCUUGUCUGAAUGCCCAGGCCUGUGGUCACCGAGGGGGCGGCCGCAGGGGCUGGGGCUUCACCUGUUUCACACUGCUGGAGAAAAGCGAACCCUGUCAGCCCGGAAGGGAAGCAGGUCAGAAAUCUGAGGACUGAGAAACUGACACGGCUGCGGGUUGGACAGGAACCCUUGGUCAUGCCAGGUGGGCGACACUGCCCCUCGGUCAGAACUGGGUCUCCUGCGCAGCCAGCCAAGUCAGCCAGGCACUAGGCAGUUCAGAGGAGGUGGAAGAGGGCACUAGAGCUGGUGGGACAGUCAGGUCGAAGGUCGAAGGCAGGACACCAUAGGCUGGGGACAGGGAGGGUGCCACUCUGAUGUGUGCUUGUCAGCAUGUGCAGCUUCCUGAGCCCUUUGAGGUGCUGCUUAUCAGCAGGCACCGUCCUACAUACUCUGUGGGUGUGACAGUCCUGGGGGCUUGUUGGUGGGAAAUCACGCCACUUCCAAGGGAGUCACCUGGACCUGCUGUGGAGGAGCCUGGAUUCCAGGAAGGGGGCCUUCGCUUAGUAGGGCACGCGGAGCCACCUGCAGCUCUGGAG